rnacentral:rRNA from 1 species
UACGUAGGGGGCUAGCGUUGUCCGGAAUCAUUGGGCGUAAAGAGCGUGUAGGCGGUUCGGUAAGUCGGCUGUGAAAGUCCAGGGCUCAACCCUGGGAUGCCGGUCGAUACUGCCGGACUAGAGUUCGGAAGAGGCGAGUGGAAUUCCCGGUGUAGCGGUGAAAUGCGCAGAUAUCGGGAGGAACACCUAUGGCGAAGGCAGCUCGCUGGGACGUUACUGACGCUGAGACGCGAAAGCGUGGGGAGCGAACAGG